AUACAGAGGGUGCGAGCGUUAAUCGGAAUUACUGGGCGUAAAGCGCGCGUAGGCGGUCUAUUAAGUCAGAUGUGAAAUCCCAGGGCUCAACCUUGGAACUGCAUCUGAUACUGGUAGACUAGAGUUUUGGAGAGGGAAGUAGAAUUUCAGGUGUAGCGGUGAAAUGCAUAGAGAUCUGAAGGAAUACCAGUGGCGAAGGCGACUUCCUGGCCAAAAACUGACGCUGAGGUGCGAAAGCGUGGGUAGCAAACGGGAUUAGAUACCCUUUGUAGUCC
rnacentral:rRNA from 1 species